rnacentral:rRNA from 1 species
GACGAACGCUGGCGGCGUGCUUAACACAUGCCAGUCGAACGGAAAGGCCCUGCUUUUGUGGGGUGCUCGAGUGGCGAACGGGUGAGUAACACGUGAGUAACCUGCCCUUGACUUUGGGAUAACUUCAGGAAACUGGGUCUAAUACCGGAUAGGAGCUCCUGCGGCAUGGUGGGGGUUGGAAAGUUUCGGCGGUUGGGGAUGGACUCGCGGCUUAUCAGCUUGUUGGUGGGGUAGUGGCUUACCAAGGCUUUGACGGGUAGCCGGCCUGAGAGGGUGACCGGCGACAUGGGGACUGAGAUACGGCGCAGACUCCUACGGGAGGCAGCAGUGGGGAAUAUUGCACAAUGGGCGGAAGCCUGAUGCAGCAACGCCGCGUGCGGGAUGACGGCCUGCGGGGUGUAAACCGCUUUCGCCUGUGACGAAGCGUGAGUGACGGUAAUGGGUAAAGAAGCACCGGCUAACUACGUG